GAUGAAGAACGUAGCGAAAUGCGAUAAGUAAUGUGAAUUGCAGAAUUCAGUGAAUCAUCGAAUCUUUGAACGCUCAUUGCGCCCCUUGGUAUUCCGAGGGGCAUGCCUGUUCGAGCGUCAUUACACCACUCAAGCUAUGCUUGGUAUUGGGCGUCGUCCUUAGUUGGGCGCGCCUUAAAGACCUCGGCGAGGCCACUCCGGCUUUAGGCGUAGUAGAAUUUAUUCGAACGUCUGUCAAAGGAGAGGAACUCUGCCGACUGAAACCUUUAUUUUUCUAGGUUGACCUCGGAUCAGGUAGGGAUACCCGCUGAACUUAAGCAUAUCAAUAAGCGGAGGA
rnacentral:misc_RNA from 1 species